CUAGCCUCCGGCUUUCCGGUCAAAGUUUGUAGCUGGAUAGCAUUUAUAGUUUAUACAGCUAAAUGACAUUAGCUGUCCCCGAAAAAUAUGUUUAAAUGCUUGUAUUUGCCCAUGUGUUGUAAAGACAGCUUUCAACACAGAGUUGUAAUAGUGGAAUCGGCGAUGGAGUGGAACAAAAAUGUGGACCUGGAGUUUUUCCAGAGGAUUUGACUGGCCAGUGGGGACAUUGGGAUUGUUACAUUGUAGAAUUAAAAUAUAUAGUAGAAGAUAUAAGAUAUAUAAAUUAUACUAAAUUAUUAUAGAGUAAUGCACAGAUUAAUUAUUAUUGCACUCUCUUCAUUUUGUGUAUUGUUUGUAUAUUGUGUCUGUAUUGUUUGUAUGCCAUGUCCCUCAUAAUAUAACAAUAUGCACAGUAUAAAUUAUACUAAAUUAUUAUUGCAUAAUAGAGUGCACAGAUGUUACUGUUAUUCUAAAUAAUCCUAAUCAUGUUUUUAUUUUUCCUGUUUUACAGCUUCUUUACAACUCUAUAUCACCAACACACACAUAUCCACACACACACACACAUAUAAAACCAACGGCACUUUUAAGAGCCAUUCUCUCUCUCACUGUCUCUCUUUCUAUCACUCUCUCACUUUCUCUUUCAAUCACUCUCUCACCUUCUCUUUUUCAAUCACUCUCUCUCACUUUCUCUUUUAAUCACUCACUCUCUCUUUGUAUGCCAUGUCCCUCAACCGUGAAGUGAGGGUCUUUGAGGAUCCCAAUGAGGCCAGGAUGCACAUGGCAGCAUUGAUUAGCGAGGCUCUUGUCCAUGAGGCCAGGGCUACUGAAACCCCUGCCAUCCCUCCGAAAAAGAAAAGAAAAAGCAGGAAGAGACCCCUUUCUAAUCCAGUGGUCACACGCAGACGUGAGAGACAACGGGAAACUCAACGCUCCGCAUCAGCUUCACAAGCCAGAAGAGACGAUCCUGUGCAUGAGUAAGGCCUUCAGCUAGAACAUCAAGAGUUUGGUAGUCUUGAAACACAUCUCCAAGAGUUAAGGGACACCCUAACUGCAGUCCAGGUUCUGGGGGCAACAGACGGAACGGUUUCUGCCUGGGCACAAAGGCAGCUUCUCACAGAUGUGAGAAUGAAAACGGCUAGGCCAAUGCUUUUUAAUGCAAAACUCUCAGCUGAGAGAAUAGCCAUUCAGAAGUGCCACAGAUGCUGUGCAGAAGAAGCGGCUUUAGGUGCCUGGACUGUGUUCCAUUGGACAUGGAGUUCCUCUGUGCAACCUGUGACAUGGAGGCCCACAAGAGANAAAGC